GCAUGACUGACGGGAAUUGGUAUACCUUCUUGUCUUAGAAACAAGAGCCUCUCGGUUCGAGUCCGAGGUCAUGUACCA
rnacentral:tRNA from 12 species